UUCGAUUAAGCCAUGCGAGUCGAGAGCUUUCGGAGCUCGGCAUACCGCUCAGUAACACGUGGGUAACCUGCCCUAUGCUGGGGAAUAACCUCGAGAAAUUGAGAACAAUGCCCCAUAGUCCACUACGCCUGGAACGGUGAGUGGAUCAAAGCUCCGGCGGCAUAGGAUGGGCCUGCGCCGUAUCAGGUUGUAGGGGGUGUAACGUACCCUCUAGCCAUCAACGCGUACGGGUGUUGGGAGACAUUGCCCGGAGAUGGAUUCUGAGACACGAAUCCAGACCCUACGGGGUGCAGCAGGCGCGAAAACUUGGCAAUGCGAGAAAUCGUGACCAGGGAACUCCAAGUGCAUCGGGUAAGACCGAUGCUUUUCUUGACUCUUCAAAGGUCUUGGAAUAAGGGGUGGGUAAGGACGGUGCCAGCCGCCGCGGUAAUACCGGCGCCUCAAGUGGUAGUCGCUUUUAUUGGGCCUAAAACGCCCGUAGCCGGUUUGGUACAUUCGUGGGUAAAUCAACCCGCUCAACGGGUUGAAUUCUGCGAGCACGGCCAGACUUGGGACCGGGAGAGGUGUGGGGUACUCUCUGGGUAGGGGUAAAAUCCUGUAAUCCAGAGAGGACCACCUGUUGCGAAGGCGCCACACUAGAACGGAUCCGACGGUCAGGGACGAAACCUAGGGGCACGAACCGGAUUAGAUACCCGGGUAGUCCUAGGUGUAAACGCUGUGGACUUGAUGUUGGGAGCGCUCCGAGCGCCCUCAGUGUCGUAGCGAAGGUGAUAAGUCCACUGCCUGGGGAGUACGGGGGCAAGGCUGAAACUUAAAGGAAUUGGCGGGGGAGCACUGCAACCUGAGGAUUGUGCG
rnacentral:rRNA from 1 species